AGGCUGUGGUGAGGGCAUUCUUGGAGUAUAUCCUUGAAUCUCUUCAUGAGUUUACAAAAGGAUUCAUUAGGCUUUUGCCUAAACUAAAGGAUAUCACUUCUCAGAUU